AGGUUCACCAGUGACGGAAAACUAGAACGUCCUCUGUGACAAAUGAAACCUAUCAGAUUACGUAGGAGCAAAAUGAAGAAAUGCCACUGCUUACCCAAGGAAAACCAGCCAACCGCCAAGAUCUAAUUAUCGGAUUGCUCUCCCCGUUGCUGUGCAAUGUCCCUUGGUCUCUGCAAACAACGUAGGCGCUUGCAACAAGGGAAACGCUUUCCACCUCUGGUACCUGCGCGGAACGGAGGAAGCACCCACGUCCCAAUAUCCUUCAAGGUUCACCAGUGACGGAAAACUAGAACGUCCUCUGUGACAAAUGAAACCUAUCAGAUUACGUAGGAGCAAAAUGAAGAAUGCCACUGCUUACCCAAGGAAAACCAGCCAACCGCCAAGAUCUAAUUAUCGGAUUGCUCUCCCCGUUGCUGUGCAAUGUCCCUUGGUCUCUGCAAACAACGUAGGCGCUUGCAACAAGGGAAACGCUUUCCACCUCUGGUACCUGCGCGGAACGGAGGAAGCACCCACGUCCCAAUAUCCUUCAAGGACCAUAAAAGAACUUAUGUUCAUUGUUGUGGAACCAAGAAAUUGUUUCCCUCUGGCAACGAGAAAAAGAAUUCUAAUUGAAGAUUGACUUCCACUAAUCAAGUUUCAAGGACUAUUCUGCUACCUGAGUCGUGGAUUUACCAGAUUUGAUCUGAUACUUUUACCUGCUUUUGGGGUUUCAAGCUAUCGAUAUGGCUUCUUC